rnacentral:rRNA from 1 species
UGGGGAAUAUUGGACAAUGGGCGAAAGCCUGAUCCAGCAAUGCCGCGUGAGUGAUGAAGGCCUUAGGGUUGUAAAGCUCUUUCACCGGGGAAGACGAUGACGGUACCCGGAGAAGAAGCCCCGGCUAACUUCGUGCCAGCAGCCGCGGUAAUACGAAGGGGGCUAGCGUUGUUCGGAAUUACUGGGCGUAAAGCGCGCGUAGGCGGUUAGCCAAGUCGGGGGUGAAAGCCCGGAGCUCAACUCCGGAACUGCCUCCGAGACUGGCUGGCUUGAGUGUGGAAGAGGGUCGUGGAAUUCCCAGUGUAGAGGUGAAAUUCGUAGAUAUUGGGAAGAACACCAGUGGCGAAGGCGGCGACCUGGUCCAUAACUGACGCUGAGGCGCGAUAGCGUGGGGAGCAAA